UACGUAGGGUGCAGGCGUUAAUCGGAAUUACUGGGCGUAAAGCGUGCGCAGGCGGUUUGUUAAGACAGAUGUGAAAUCCCCGGGCUUAACCUGGGAACUGCGUUUGUAACUGGCAAGCUAGAGUGUGGCAGAGGGGGGUGGAAUUCCAAGUGUAGCAGUGAAAUGCGUAGAUAUUUGGAGGAACACCGGUGGCGAAGGCGGCAUCCUGGACCGGUAUUGACACUGAGGCGCGAAAGCCAGGGGAGCAAACGGG
rnacentral:rRNA from 1 species